rfam:Lactobacillus plantarum WCFS1 complete genome
GUAAACGUCCUGAAGAGGAAAGUAAUCAUCGCUACCCGUGCAGUGAGUUUGGAAUAGUGCAAACCAAACCGGAAGACGAUUGAUGAAAAAUGGCCUCCAAACGGCACCACUGAGCUUUUGCCAGGUGAUGACAGUUAGCUACUGUUAAUAAGCUUCCGUAUGAAACGUACGGAUUGAGGUCAAUAUCGUGAGGUGUUGACAAAUUAAGGUGGUACCGCGAACGGCAACUUCGUCCUUUAA